rnacentral:rRNA from 1 species
CUAUACAUGCAAGUCGAGCGGACAGAAGGGAGCUUGCUCCCGGAUGUUAGCGGCGGACGGGUGAGUAACACGUGGGUAACCUGCCUGUAAGACUGGGAUAACUCCGGGAAACCGGAGCUAAUACCGGAUAGUUCCUUGAACCGCAUGGUUCAAGGAUGAAAGACGGUUUCGGCUGUCACUUACAGAUGGACCCGCGGCGCAUUAGCUAGUUGGUGGGGUAAUGGCUCACCAAGGCGACGAUGCGUAGCCGACCUGAGAGGGUGAUCGGCCACACUGGGACUGAGACACGGCCCAGACUCCUACGGGAGGCAGCAGUAGGGAAUCUUCCGCAAUGGACGAAAGUCUGACGGAGCAACGCCGCGUGAGUGAUGAAGGUUUUCGGAUCGUAAAGCUCUGUUGUUAGGGAAGAACAAGUGCGAGAGUAACUGCUCGCACCUUGACGGUACCUAACCAGAAAGCCACGGCUAACUACGUGCCAGCAGCCGCGGUAAUACGUAGGUGGCAAGCGUUGUCCGGAAUUAUUGGGCGUAAAGGGCUCGCAGGCGGUUUCUUAAGUCUGAUGUGAAAGCCCCCGGCUCAACCGGGGAGGGUCAUUGGAAACUGGGAAACUUGAGUGCAGAAGAGGAGAGUGGAAUUCCACGUGUAGCGGUGAAAUGCGUAGAGAUGUGGAGGAACACCAGUGGCGAAGGCGACUCUCUGGUCUGUAACUGACGCU